CUCUGAUUCACAACCACACAGAAUGGCGAGAACCUUCCUACCAGCUCUACUGCUCUAUGGAUUGAGUUUGGUCUCUGCUUUGGUUUCUCAGUCUCAAACAAUGGAGGUUCGUAUUGGGGAUAACAUCACCUUGCAGUGCUCCAAUAUUACAAUGGCUGUGGGACACACAGCAUGGUUCAAGCAAGUCAACGGAUAAGAACCUGUGUGUAUCUCGUCUAUGUAUGGCUUUAAUUCAACACCUGAUCUUCACAAUGGUUUUCAAAGAAGCCAUUUUGGAAUGUUCAGCAACAACAACACUAACUUCCUCAAAAUCACAAAUGUUGAAAUAGGUGACUGUGGCCUUUAUUUCUGUGGAUUGUAUCCACAUAGCCACAUGUUCUUUGUCAAUGCAACAUAUCUAAAAAAUUAAAGGGCAUAAUUCUCAAAGACAACCACAAAAUGAUCAGAUUUCCAGUCAACCAGCCAAAAGAUGGCUUUGAGACCGAAAAGAUGGCUCUUUUCACACCUCUCUUCAUCUGUUCAUCUGGACGGUAAACACCAGACCAGUGCCAGUCAGUUCGAUGUGCAAAGCCAAUAGAAUUUUCCCAACCUUAAAAUGUGCAUAAAUGUGCAUUCUUAAACUAUCGGUCCUGAGUUAUGAGAAUAGAUCUAUAAUCACACACUAUUUAUUUUUAUUUAGGGUCAUUUAUUUAGGGUCAAUUUCUCAUUUGGAUCUUGAGUUGAA